rnacentral:snRNA from 1 species
AUAUUCGGCAGCACAUAUGCUAAAAUUGGAAUGAUACAGAGAAUAUUAGCAUGGCCCCUGCGCAAGAGUGACAUGCAAAUUCACGAAGCAUUCCAUAUUUUU